rnacentral:rRNA from 1 species
UACGUAGGGUGCAAGCGUUGUCCGGAUUUAUUGGGCGUAAAGAGCUUGUAGGCGGUUUGUCGCGUCUGCCGUGAAAGUCCGGGGCUCAACUCCGGAUCUGCGGUGGGUACGGGCAGACUAGAGUGAUGUAGGGGAGACUGGAAUUCCUGCUGUAGCGGUGAAAUGCGCAGAUAUCAGGAGGAACACCGGUGGCGAAGGCGGGUCUCUGGGCCGAUACUGACGCUGAGGAGCGAAAGCGUGGGGAGAGAACAGG